GCUUGGGAUGGAGGCACUGAGUGGAGACGGGAGAGGCAUGACUAGGGGUAGGCUGGGGGGGAGCUGGAGUUUUCAUGCUAUUGAGGCUUUGCUGCUAUUUUCCCACUUUUGCAACAACAAAAAAAAAAAAAGAAAAAUAAUGCUUCCCAUCCUCUUCAGACCCAUCACUCUAGGUAACUAACAUCUGAGCACGUGGGGGUCCAGAAACCCAGCAGGGAUCCUGUUCUCUGCAGCAAAUCCAGUGCCGCCUUGCCUCGUGCACCCAGAAGAGAGAGUGCUUGGAGCAGAUGAACAGCAGCCACUCAAACUCAGACCAGCAUCGGUAAGAAGAUUCGCAUUAACUAACUGGCAACACUAAAUGAUUUAGAUGUUACAGUGGCCGCUGCAAGCAGGAUAUAUCAGAGUGAACUGACUCCCGGCAGGAGACUCAGGAGGUCAAGGAAUGGUUUACACUCAGAGAUCAUCUGAUCUGAAACAUAUACAAUUCAUUGAAUGCAACCAACAUCAUUCACCCUCCUUCUGAAACAUAGUCAUAACUAGAAUAUUGUCAUUGGUGCCAUUAAACUGCAUGGAGUCUCUCACAAAUUGAUCCUUCUCACUUCUCUUCUUUCCAAGUUAACUUUAAGAAAACUAGGCCAGAGAAGCCUCUUCCCAAUUUAAGGCAAAGACAUCAAGGAAUCCCCCAGUAAAAAACGAAGGAAACCUCUCAAGAUUUAUAAAUAUUCUCCAAGAAGAUGGAUGGCAUGGAAGGUUUAGUGCUCUGAAGUCAAAUAUCAGUGUUUUAAUUAUGGUAGCAAAGGGAUUAGGUUGGAAAGGACAGAUGAAUCACCAUACAUGUUGAUAGUAACAGUAGGUGACAGGUGAACAAAUCACAGGUCUUGAGUUUCUCUACCCUGCCUCUCUCUGGUAACGUCAUCUCCAGUACCAUCUGCUACCUACCAGCUAAACAGACCAACCACAUAAUGAGGUACCAGCUUCCACCCAGCUACCGUGACUAAAUCAGAACAAAAGAAUUCAACGCCUCCUUCAACAAAGGGACACAAGUCUAAGCUGUCUUUGCUAAUUGCUGGGUUUCAGGUUGUCUGUUACAGAUUUUAAGUGAGCUGCAAACUUGCAUCCAUACUUUAUAGCUGUUGGAUAAAGAUAAUGCGAAUAAAAGAUAAAUGGAAACCAAAGGCAAUGAUGCUGUUCUCCUAAAAUGUGAGACAGUUUUCUUCUUGACAGCAAGUGGAGCCCAGCUCUGCAUCUCCCUCAGUCACUGGAGAAAGACUAACAUGCUUCAGAUUCAGUUGCUUUCCAGACGGACUUGAAACGAUUCAAUGAAAUGAUUACUCCAUUCAUCUAUCCCAUUUUAUACUUAUUGUGUAACAAGUGAGACACUGUGGGUCAUUUUAAAGUAAAAGAGAAUAGUGGUAUAAUCCUAUUAAAGACAUCAGACUAUUUAAAAUAGGACAGAUAUUAACAUCACCCUAAACUGUAAAUGAAUGUAUUUGUAAAGGUGUUUUAACUUUCCAGAGUGAAGUACAUUUUAUGUUGCUGUUUCUUUGCUACACCAUCACUAUAUUUAUCCAGCUAGUGCAGCCGGGUGUAUGAGUCAUAGGAAAUUAUAUUUCUUGCUUAUUAAAGUGGUUUGUCUCAGGAAUAUUUCAUAGUGUAUAUUUUUUUCACUCACAUAAAGAUGUUGAGAGAAUAACUGGCAACCUAUUUAAAUGUCCUUUGCUUAAGAGAUGUCUAUUAUAUUUGCUGCGGAUUUUUUAAAUUUUUAUUGCCUUUCUAAACUGUUAAUUAUGUAUCGAAAUGUAUUGCUGUCACCAGUCUAACAUGAACAAAGCAAUAGAGUGAACUGCCUGAGAUAUUUCAGCAUGGUAUUAAUUACAAGCAUAGUAAUAAAUGAAAAUUCUACAAA